rnacentral:rRNA from 2 species
AGGGCGCACGGUGGAUGCCUUGACACUAGGAGUCGAUGAAGGACGGGACUAACGCCGAUAUGCUUCGGGGAGCUGUAAGUAAGCUUUGAUCCGAAGAUUUCCGAAUGGGGAAACCCACCAUACGUAAUGGUAUGGUAUCCUUAUCUGAAUACAUAGGGUAAGGAAGACAGACCCAGGGAACUGAAACAUCUAAGUACCUGGAGGAAGAGAAAGCAAAUGCGAUUUCCUGAGUAGCGGCGAGCGAAACGGAACAUAGCCCAAACCAAGAGGCUUGCCUCUUGGGGUUGUAGGACAUUCUAUACGGAGUUACAAAGGAACGAGGUAGACGAAGCGACCUGGAAAGGUCCGUCGUAGAGGGUAACAACCCCGUAGUCGAAACUUCGUUCUCUCUUGAAUGUAUCCUGAGUACGGCGGAACACGUGAAAUUCCGUCGGAAUCUGGGAGGACCAUCUCCCAAGGCUAAAUACUCCCUAGUGAUCGAUAGUGAACCAGUACCGUGAGGGAAAGGUGAAAAGCACCCCGGAAGGGGAGUGAAAGAGAUCCUGAAACCGUGUGCCUACAAAUAGUCAGAGCCCGUUAACGGGUGAUGGCGUGCCUUUUGUAGAAUGAACCGGCGAGUUACGAUCCCGUGCGAGGUUAAGCUGAAGAGGCGGAGCCGCAGCGAAAGCGAGUCUGAAUAGGGCGUUUAGUACGUGGUCGUAGACCCGAAACCAGGUGAUCUACCCAUGUCCAGGGUGAAGUUCAGGUAACACUGAAUGGAGGCCCGAACCCACGCACGUUGAAAAGUGCGGGGAUGAGGUGUGGGUAGCGGAGAAAUUCCAAUCGAACCUGGAGAUAGCUGGUUCUCCCCGAAAUAGCUUUAGGGCUAGCCUUAAGUGUAAGAGUCUUGGAGGUAGAGCACUGAUUGGACUAGGGGUCCUCAUCGGAUUACCGAAUUCAGUCAAACUCCGAAUGCCAAUGACUUAUCCUUAGGAGUCAGACUGCGAGUGAUAAGAUCCGUAGUCAAAAGGGAAACAGCCCAGACCGCCAGCUAAGGUCCCAAAGUGUGUAUUAAGUGGAAAAGGAUGUGGAGUUGCUUAGACAACUAGGAUGUUGGCUUAGAAGCAGCCACCAUUUAAAGAGUGCGUAAUAGCUCACUAGUCGAGUGACUCUGCGCCGAAAAUGUACCGGGGCUAAAUACACCACCGAAGCUGCGGAUUGAUACCGAAUGGUAUCAGUGGUAGGGGAGCGUUCUAAGGACAGUGAAGUCAGACCGGAAGGACUGGUGGAGUGCUUAGAAGUGAGAAUGCCGGUAUGAGUAGCGAAAGACGGGUGAGAAUCCCGUCCACCGAAUGCCUAAGGUUUCCUGAGGAAGGCUCGUCCGCUCAGGGUUAGUCAGGACCUAAGCCGAGGCCGACAGGCGUAGGCGAUGGACAACAGGUUGAUAUUCCUGUACCACCUCUUUAUCGUUUGAGCAAUGGAGGGACGCAGAAGGAUAGAAGAAGCGUGCGAUUGGUUGUGCACGUCCAAGCAGUUAGGCUGAUAAGUAGGCAAAUCCGCUUAUCGUAAAGGCUGAGCUGUGAUGGGGAAGCUCCUUAUGGAGCGAAGUCUUUGAUUCCCCGCUGCCAAGAAAAGCUUCUAGCGAGAUAAAAGGUGCCUGUACCGCAAACCGACACAGGUAGGCGAGGAGAGAAUCCUAAGGUGUGCGAGAGAACUCUGGUUAAGGAACUCGGCAAAAUGACCCCGUAACUUCGGGAGAAGGGGUGCUUUCUUAACGGAAAGCCGCAGUGAAUAGGCCCAAGCGACUGUUUAGCAAAAACACAGCUCUCUGCGAAGCCGUAAGGCGAAGUAUAGGGGGUGACACCUGCCCGGUGCUGGAAGGUUAAGGAGAGGGGUUAGCGUAAGCGAAGCUCUGAACUGAAGCCCCAGUAAACGGCGGCCGUAACUAUAACGGUCCUAAGGUAGCGAAAUUCCUUGUCGGGUAAGUUCCGACCCGCACGAAAGGUGUAACGAUUUGGGCACUGUCUCAACCAGAGACUCGGUGAAAUUAUAGUACCUGUGAAGAUGCAGGUUACCCGCGACAGGACGGAAAGACCCCGUGGAGCUUUACUGUAGCCUGAUAUUGAAUUUUGGUACAGUUUGUACAGGAUAGGCGGGAGCCUUUGAAACCGGAGCGCUAGCUUCGGUGGAGGCGCUGGUGGGAUACCGCCCUGACUGUAUUGAAAUUCUAACCUACGGGUCUUAUCGACCCGGGAGACAGUGUCAGGUGGGCAGUUUGACUGGGGCGGUCGCCUCCUAAAGUGUAACGGAGGCGCCCAAAGGUUCCCUCAGAAUGGUUGGAAAUCAUUCGUAGAGUGCAAAGGCAUAAGGGAGCUUGACUGCGAGACCUACAAGUCGAGCAGGGACGAAAGUCGGGCUUAGUGAUCCGGUGGUUCCGCAUGGAAGGGCCAUCGCUCAACGGAUAAAAGCUACCCCGGGGAUAACAGGCUUAUCUCCCCCAAGAGUCCACAUCGACGGGGAGGUUUGGCACCUCGAUGUCGGCUCAUCGCAUCCUGGGGCUGUAGUCGGUCCCAAGGGUUGGGCUGUUCGCCCAUUAAAGCGGUACGCGAGCUGGGUUCAGAACGUCGUGAGACAGUUCGGUCCCUAUCCGUCGUGGGCGUAGGAAAUUUGAGAGGAGCUGUCCUUAGUACGAGAGGACCGGGAUGGACGCACCGCUGGUGUACCAGUUGUUCUGCCAAGGGCAUAGCUGGGUAGCUAUGUGCGGAAGGGAUAAGUGCUGAAAGCAUCUAAGCAUGAAGCCCCCCUCAAGAUGAGAUUUCCCAUAGCGUAAGCUAGU